rnacentral:rRNA from 1 species
UACGUAGGGGGCAAGCGUUGUCCGGAAUCAUUGGGCGUAAAGCGCGUGUAGGCGGCCAGGUAAGUCCGUUCUGAAAGCCCGGGGCUCAACCCCGGGAGGCGGAUGGAUACUGCUUGGCUCGAGUCCGGAAGAGGCGAGUGGAAUUCCCGGUGUAGCGGUGAAAUGCGUAGAUAUUGGGAAGAACACCGGUGGCGAAAGCGCUCUGCUGGACCUGCACUGACACUGAGGGACGAAAGCUAGGGGAGCGAAAGGG